GUCGUAUGAAAAAACUGAUGGCACCUACCCCCCCAAAGUCGAUGUCUGGCUUUCCAACGGUGGAAACCCCGUAGUUCUACGCCCCACCUGAGGAAGGUCGUAGGAAGAAACCGAUGGCACCUACCCCCCCAAAGUCGAUGUCUGGCUUUCCAACGGUGGAAACCUUGUAGUUCUACGCCCCACCUGAGGAGCGUCGUAGGAAAAAGCUGAUGGCACCUACCCCCCCAAAGUCGAUGUCUGGCUUUCCAACGGUGGAAACCCCGUAGUUCUACGCCCCACCUGAGGUGAGAUAAUGUCGUUUUUACAGUGUAUUUUCUGUAUCUCCGGAACGGAAGGUCGUAGAAACUCGGGGAGACCACCGUUGGAUUCAGAAGGGUCGAAUUAGGGCAGGCGGAAGGUGGUUUGGAGUCUCUACGACCUUCCGUUCUGGAGAUAUAAGAGGUAAAAGUUUGGCAAACUUGGUCCUACUUUAUCUCAUCAACCGAUCGUCACAGAAACAAGAGGACAAAACCUGUGCCCUGCCUAGAC